GACGAACGCUGGCGGCGUGCUUAACACAUGCAAGUCGAACGGAAAGGCCCUGCUUUUGUGGGGUGCUCGAGUGGCGAACGGGUGAGUAACACGUGAGUAACCUGCCCUUGACUUUGGGAUAACUUCAGGAAACUGGGGCUAAUACCGGAUAGGAGCUCCUGCUGCAUGGUGGGGGUUGGAAAGUUUCGGCGGUUGGGGAUGGACUCGCGGCUUAUCAGCUUGUUGGUGGGGUAGUGGCUUACCAAGGCUUUGACGGGUAGCCGGCCUGAGAGGGUGACCGGCCACAUUGGGACUGAGAUACGGCCCAGACUCCUACGGGAGGCAGCAGCGGGGAAUAUUGCACAAUGGGCGGAAGCCUGAUGCAGCAACGCCGCGUGCGGGAUGACGGCCUUCGGGUUGUAAACCGCUUUCGCCUGUGACGAAGCGUGAGUGACGGUAAUGGGUAAAGAAGCACCGGCUAACUACGUGCCAGCAGCCGCGGUGAUACGUAGGGUGCGAGCGUUGUCCGGAUUUAUUGGGCGUAAAGGGCUCGUAGGUGGUUGAUCGCGUCGGAAGUGUAAUCUUGGGGCUUAACCCUGAGCGUGCUUUCGAUACGGGUUGACUUGAGGAAGGUAGGGGAGAAUGGAAUUCCUGGUGGAGCGGUGGAAUGCGCAGAUAUCAGGAGGAACACCAGUGGCGAAGGCGGUUCUCUGGGCCUUUCCUGACGCUGAGGAGCGAAAGCGUGGGGAGCGAACAGGCUUAGAUACCCUGGUAGUCCACGCUGUAAACGGUGGGUACUAGGUGUGGGGUCCAUUCCACGGGUUCCGUGCCGUAGCUAACGCUUUAAGUACCCCGCCUGGGGAGUACGGCCGCAAGGCUAAAACUCAAAGGAAUUGACGGGGCCCCGCACAAGCGGCGGAGCAUGCGGAUUAAUUCGAUGCAACGCGUAGAACCUUACCUGGGUUUGACAUGGAUCGGGAGUGCUCAGAGAUGGGUGUGCCUCUUUUGGGGUCGGUUCACAGGUGGUGCAUGGCUGUCGUCAGCUCGUGUCGUGAGAUGUUGGGUUAAGUCCCGCAACGAGCGCAACCCUUGUUCACUGUUGCCAGCACGUUAUGGUGGGGACUCAGUGGAGACCGCCGGGGUCAACUCGGAGGAAGGUGGGGAUGACGUCAAGUCAUCAUGCCCCUUAUGUCCAGGGCUUCACGCAUGCUACAAUGGCUGGUACAGAGAGUGGCGAGCCUGUGAGGGUGAGCGAAUCUCGGAAAGCCGGUCUCAGUUCGGAUUGGGGUCUGCAACUCGACCUCAUGAAGUCGGAGCCGCUAGUAAUCGCAGAUCAGCAACGCUGCGGUGAAUACGUUCCCGGGGCU
rnacentral:rRNA from 1 species